CACGGUGAGUAACACGUAUCCAACCUGCCGUCUACUCUUGGCCAGCCUUCUGAAAGGAAGAUUAAUCCAGGAUGGCAUCAUGAGUUCACAUGUCCGCAUGAUUAAAGGUAUUUUCCGGUAGACGAUGGGGAUGCGUUCCAUUAGAUAGUAGGCGGGGUAACGGCCCACCUAGUCUACGAUGGAUAGGGGUUCUGAGAGGAAGGUCCCCCACAUUGGAACUGAGACACGGUCCAA
rnacentral:rRNA from 1 species